rnacentral:misc_RNA from 1 species
GAUGAAGAACGCAGCGAAAUGCGAUAAGUAGUGUGAAUUGCAGAAUUCAGUGAAUCAUCGAAUAUUUGAACGCACAUUGCGCCCCUCGGUAUUCCGUGGGGCAUGCCUGUUCGAGCGUCAUUUAACCCCUCAAGCCUAGCUUGGUAUUGGGUGCUUGUCCCGCCUCUCGCGCGGCGACUCACCUCAAAGUCAUUGGCAGCCCGCAUCUCGCCGGCCGUGAGCGCAGCACAGACGCGCUCUUGGCAACGACGGAUCGGCUCUCCAAAAGCUUAUUUCAACCACUGACCUCGGAUCAGGUAGGGAUACCCGCUGAACUUAAGCAUAUCAAUAAGCGGAGGA